rnacentral:rRNA from 1 species
GAGGAAUAUUGGUCAAUGGGCGCGAGCCUGAACCAGCCAAGUAGCGUGAAGGAUGACUGCCCUAUGGGUUGUAAACUUCUUUUAUAAGGGAAUAAAGUGAGGCACGUGUGCCUUAUUGUAUGUACCUUAGGAAUAAGCAUCGGCUAACUCCGUGCCAGCAGCCGCGGUAAUACGGAGGAUGCAAGCGUUAUCCGGAUUUAUUGGGUUUAAAGGAUGCGUAGGCGGAUAUGUAAGUCAGAUGUGAAACCCCCGGGCUUAACCCGGGGCAUGCAUUUGAGACUGCAUAUCUAGAGUGCAGGAGAGGAAAGCGGAAUUCCUAGUGUAGCGGUGAAAUGCGUAGAUAUUAGGAAGAACACCAGUGGCGAAGGCGGCUUUCUGGACUGUAACUGACGCUGAUGCAUGAAAGCGUGGGGAGCAAACA